UCCGUAGGCGGGUAAUUAAGUCAGAGGUGAAAUCCCACAGCUUAACUGUGGAACUGCCUUAGAUAUUGGUUAUCUUGAGUUUUAGUGAAGUAGAUAGAAUGUGUAGUGUAGCGGUGAAAUGCAUAGAUAUUACACAGAAUACCGAUUGCGAAGGCAGUCUACUAACUAACAACUGACGCUAAUGGACGAAAGCGUGGGGAGCGAACAGGAUUAGAUACCCUGGUAGUCC
rnacentral:rRNA from 1 species